UAUAAAUACUAUUAGAACAAAUAAGAACAAAAAUGACACUAAAAAUGUUGCAGCUGCUCUAGACAAAAUGAAGUUCACCAAAAAAUCACGUUUUACAUUCACCAAUAAAUAGAUGAUCAAUUAACAAUUCAUAAUUAAUCUUUAACUUGUAGAUGAUGUAAAGACAAACUUUAUCUGAGGUGAAAACAUUUAGCCAAAAACAGAUCACAUGACCUUAGAGAAGACGUAUACUGUGAUGUAGACAAAUCAAUUUUUCCAUUUUUGCAAUGUGAAAUAAAGUCCAUCAGUCAGUACCACAGAUAAAACCCUCAUUAAUCCUCUAACACCAAUAAUCUGAGCAUUAAUAAUAAUGUUACAAUGACAUUAACAUUUAUCAUCUGCAUGACAAAUACAGGACGUGAAGAUGGCAAAUGUAUAAGAUACAAAUAUAAGCUCUAAGAAGUGUUAUUGCUUUAAUAUGUGAGUUUCAAUGAAAAGAGGAGUAUCUAAAUAUUCAAAAAUGUAUUUAUGUUGUGUAAAAUUGUGGAAACAUUUACAAGUUUAUGUGUAAAAAGAGUUACAGUUGUUACUUGGACUGGAGGAGCAAUGUGUGUUGGAAGACUAAAACAUAACUCAGAUAUUUACACUUUGGUUAAAGUGAGAGAAGUUGAGAUGCAGUGUUCAAACUGUAAUCACAAUGAAA